CUAAAUUGAAACAUAGUGAUGCAUCAUCUCCAAUUUUAUUUGGAGCGGUCAAUCCCAUCUUGACUCGUACUUAGACUUCACAAGUACUUGAUUGUGCUUAAAAAUCUUUCAUCAUCGAAUUAGAAAAUUGGAUAGUCCGGUAUCAAAGCACAGUGAGUUGCUUGCAAGUCAUUGAAGCAGCCUCAGGUCAGAGAGACACUUAUAUCUAUAUCCCA
rnacentral:lncRNA from 1 species